rnacentral:lncRNA from 1 species
CCAGCUGGCUUGUGGUACCUGGUAGGAUCUAUGGUCUUCCAUCAUGGGCCUGUGGCUUCAUAGCUGAGAGUAUAGGAAUGGUCCCUUGACAUAUGUCACAGUGGAUAUGGCCCUGACAUCUGUGCUUGAGCUCCAAGCAGCCACAGUGGUAUUCUUAUGAGAAAGGAUAUCCUGAGGGGACAGUAAUGAGGUGGAGAUAAGUAUGUGGACUGCUUAGCCUUAGAGGGACUGGCUAUGGCUAUGGCUUAGCAGGCUUGGAAUCUGAGGCUGGACACUGUUUACCAGUUCCAAUGUGGGACCUUUGAUAUAAUUCAGUCCUCUACCUCUCAGCACACGAAGCUGCCUCCUGACUGCUGCCCUCUCCUCGUGUUUGUGAACCCCAAGAGUGGGGGCCUCAAGGGACGAGAACUGCUCUGCAGUUUCCGGAAGCUGCUGAAUCCACACCAGGUCUUUGAGCUCACCAACGGGGGCCCUCUUCCUGGGUGCCCUGCUUUCGGGUACUGGUCUGUGGUGGAGAUGGCACCGUGGGCUGGGUGCUCGCUGCCCUGGAGGAGACAAGGCGCCAUCUGGCCUGCCCAGAGCCAUCUGUGGCCAUCCUACCCCUGGGUACAGGGAAUGACCUUGGCCGGGUCCUCCGUUGGGGAGCAGGCUAUAGUGGUGAGGACCCAUUUUCUGUGCUGGUGUCUGUGGAUGAGGCUGAUGCUGUGCU